CGCCCAAAAGCUAGCCUACUACGCAAGCACAACAACCAAUAUUAAUACCCCCUAACAUACUACAAAUCACUAAACCAAAUCAUUUUUCCGCCUAAGUAUGAGCGACAGAAAAGGACACAUUUUUAGAGCAAUAGAGACAGUACCGCAAGGGAAAGCUGAAAGAAAAAUGAAAUACUCAACCCAAGCACCGAAAAGCAAAGCUUAAAACUUGUACCUUUUGCAUCAUGGUCUAGCCAGCAUUACUUAGGCAAAGCGCACUUUAGUCUAAGCCCCCGAAACCAGGUGAGCUACUUCAAGACAGCCUAAUAUAAGGGCGAACCCGUCCCUGUAGCAAAAGGGUGGGACGAUCUUCAAGUAGAGGUGAUAUACCUAUCGAACCUGGCUAUAGCUGGUUGCUUGAAAAAUGGAUAGAAGUUCAGCCUUGCCCUUUCCUGAGCCACCCUCACUUUAGUCUCCACUCAUAGGAAUCUAACGAAUAGCGCAAGAGUUAAUCACAGGAGGUACAGCUCCUCUGAUAUAGGACACAGCCUUACACAGGAGGGUAAAGAUCAUC
rnacentral:rRNA from 1 species